UACGGGGGGAGCAAGCGUUGUUCGGAUUUACUGGGCGUAAAGGGCUCGUAGGCGGCCAACUAAGUCGGAUGUGAAAUCCCCAGGCUUAACCUGGGAACUGCAUCCGAUACUGGAUGGCUUGAAUUCGGGAGAGGGAUGCAGAAUUCCAGGUGUAGCGGUGAAAUGCGUAGAUAUCUGGAGGAAUACCGGUGGCGAAGGCGGCAUCCUGGACCGAUAUUGACGCUGAUGAGCGAAAGCUAGGGGAGCAAACAGG
rnacentral:rRNA from 1 species